UACGGGGGGAGCAAGCGUUGUUCGGAUUUACUGGGCGUAAAGGGCGCGUAGGCGGUCAGCACAAGUCAGUUGUGAAAUCUCCGGGCUUAACUCGGAAAGGUCAACUGAUACUGUGCGACUAGAGUGCAGAAGGGGCAACUGGAAUUCUCGGUGUAGCGGUGAAAUGCGUAGAUAUCGAGAGGAACACCUGCGGCGAAGGCGGGUUGCUGGGCUGACACGUGACGCUGGAUGCGCGAAAGCCCAGGGGAGGCGAAACGGGG
rnacentral:rRNA from 1 species